rnacentral:hammerhead_ribozyme from 1 species
AUUCAGCUGACGAGUCCGAAGUAAGACGAAACGCGCGUCCUCGAU